ensembl:lncRNA
AUGGAAAAGGAACAGAUAAUCCUCUUUCCAGUACUUCUGAAUAACUCACAAGCUUCAACUUAUCUGAUGCCACUUCUACAAGCAAACUUUAGGUCUUGUUCAAGAGAGAAGAAUACCAGAAGAAAUAUUUUGGGCAGGGGGUAUCUCAGAAGACAAGAAGGAGGAGGAAGUGGGGAAGUUGCUGUGCUCAACGGCAAUAUUAUCUUCAUCUGUGCAGAGAAGGCAUCUCAGAGGUAGUGAGAACCAAUCAAAAAGAUUUACGCAUCCAAACUUAGUCCCUCUGUAAUGCUCUAAGGAAGAAUCCAUGAGCUUAGUCUUUGAUUAUCUUUAACCAGCCUUGGGAUCUGACCCAGGGCUAGGUAAUUAACAUGAGUAAUUAGCUCCUCUUUCUUUAUGAGGGCGGUAGUGGUGUAUGCUCUUGGAGAAAAGUGCACACAAACUCCGUGUGUGCCCCACACCGGCCUCCCUUAUUAUGUUCCAUCAGCAUAGCAGUGAGAUGAGCCUCCAUUUCCCUGCUUUCCCUCUUAGAAUAAUUGCCUUCUGAACAAUGGCGCAUGUCCGCUUCAUCUUGCUUACUAGGAAAACAUGAUUUGCCUCUAGAAGUAAACCUGGUCACAGGCAUGGCAGCUGGCCAUUGUAUUUAGCUCUUGAGCUUGAUAUUAGGUUUAAAAGUUAAGUUAGAUUUGCUCUACUAGAGAUUCUUGGAGGGCCUACUCUAAGUCAGGCUCCUAUUGGAUCCAUCCACACACUUAUUUUUCAGAUGAGGAAGGCCGUGACCCAAGGACUCCUAUUCAGCCUCUCUGGCCCCCACAAUUUCCCCAGUCUUUUCAGGCUCUGAACUGCCGCCUCCCUCAGGAGGCUUGAUAUAUCCUAAAAAUGGUGGCCGUGGCCAGCUUCUGUAAAAAGGAGAUGGGUCACAUCCUAUGUGUGGGCCAUGCACUAUGUUUUUUCAAAAUUAAUUCUCCCAGGAAAACUUCUGAGAGUUUUCCCAGUCACCCUACGAGGUACACCGGAAACUGAUUUAUAACGUCGGGAAAAAUCAACACUGAGACAAUGGAUUACUCAGCAAGGCUAGUUUUACUUCCUGCAGGAAGGGUGCAACUCGCUGGCAGUCUUGCCAUAAGAGCACACCUGAACAGAAGAGACAGGGACAUUUAUAACUUCCAUAACCUGAGGCAGUUGCCCUACUGCUGUGUCCAGUUUCCAUUGGCUGGAAUGGGACCUCACAUUCUAUGCUUGACCUGACUGGCUAAAAACUUGGAAGUUUUCUAAAGAAGUAAAGGCAGAGGAGAACAAAGGAAAAGAGUAAGUAACUUGAGGGAUGCUUAGAAAAUCGAUAAUAUUUUCAAAUAAGGAAGGGGAAUAAGCUUUGACCUAAGACUUUCCUGGGCUUGUCCAGGCCUGUCAGGGCAAAUAUCGAGGUUAAAGUGUAAGAACUAAGAACAUGGAUGCACUUAUUUCUUCAUUAUGACUAACAGCUACUUCAAGAUUAUUAGCAAAAGAUUUAAAGUAAAUUAACCUUUGAAGAAACUAUUAUUUAUUCGUAAUGAACUAAGAGGAAAUCUUUGAAAAGGAACCUUUUAUUUAUUCUCAUUUCCUACAUACACUAAGGGUAGGGAAGGCAAGUCCCAUGAGUUCUUUGGGCCCCUUUAAAACGGCCACUCUCCCAGCCUCUUUAUGGGCAUCUGCAUCUGUUGUUUACAAGGAAGUUUAGGAAAGAUGGCUGAGCUCUCCACCGACCAUCCUAACAAACAAGUCAGUGGCCUCAACUCAGACCCUCUAGAGGAGACCUCAGUGCCUCAUAAUUUGGAGCAGUGAGUGGACACCCACCUGUGUCACUUGAAACGGGCUCUGCUGCAUCCCCAACAGGGUCUGAAAUCCACUGUUAGCAUUAAAUGCAAGCAGUUACUUCAUGCAGCCUGUGCAUGCGUGUGUGUGUGUGUGUGUGUGUGUGUGUGUGACACCAGUGGAAAGUGGGAGGUAGAGAAAUUACAAGAAAAGGGAAAGACCGUUUAGGCUGUUCCUUGGAAGAGUUUACUGGGAAAUGAAACGAUCAUCAUCUCAAACAGCGUGGUGACAUAGGUCAUGAAGAUGUACACAUCCCCACAGAGUCAUAUCCUUGUCGAGUGGUGGGAAUAACCUGGCAGGAGACAGUUUUGAGACCCAGGCUCUAGAGUCAGGGAAAUAUGCACUCGGUUUCCAGCUUUCACUCCCUGUCUUCAUCACCUACAGGAAGUUCCUUAACUUAUGGAGGCCCCCGUUUCCCUAUCUGUUAAAAUGGAGGAUAAUAUUCUACCCUCACAGGAUUGUUGUCCUAAAUCAGAUAAUGCAGCUGAAGCAAAUCAACUGAAGACUAUUUGACUCCCAAAUCCAUGUGCCUAGGCACUGGGCAUUAAUUACUUUUGUGUGCGUGCAAUGAUCACGUGUGAGCAUGUACUUCUAUUGCAGUGAGCUCAGGGGCAAGCGGAUCAUGAGGUUAGGAGUUCGAGAUCAGCCUGGCCAACCUGGUGAAACCCCGUCUCUGCUAAAGAUACAAAAAAUCAUCUGGGCAUGGUGGUGCAUGCCUGUAAUCCCAGCUACUUGGUAGGCUGAGGCAGGAGAAUCGCCUGAACCCAGGAGAUGGAGGUUGCAGUGAGCAGAGAUUGAGCCAUUGCACUCCAGCCUGGGUGACAGGGCAAGAACCGGUCUCAAAAAGAAAAUGCAUUUAAGGUUAAUGUCUUCAGUUUUGACAGUCUUAGUUUAGAGCUAAUAGGUUGAAUGGGGGCAUGGAAGGCCAUUUAAGAACUGCUAAUAAGUAUUAGCAUCUUGGCUUCACUGGGGAUUCCACCUACUAGGAAUGAAAAGUGAUGUCUUGGAGUGUUGUGGUUAAGUGGUUUCCACCAAGCCUCAGGCAGCAAUUAGUGCACACAGAGUUAUCCAGACUGAGUAUAAAAGCCUGUUUAUGGAGGGGUUAUGUGUUCUGGUACCAGCCAGCUAUUAUCUAGUGGUCUUAUUUAUGGUGGGUUAAGUAAGAAUGAGAACCAGAGAAUCAUCCUUUAUGUGGGUGAUAUGGGCUUCUCAGACACUGGGCAUCUCCUAGACCUCUUGUAAAUGGCAAUAAAGCAAUAUAACAACAAACAACAUACAUGCCUUCCCCCAUUACCCCCUACGCUCCAGAAUUCCUACAACUGUGGGCUUUCAAUAUGUUUACAGGAAAUAUGAGAGAUGCUUAUUUCAAAAAUAACUUUAAAAAAUUAUCCAAGUAGGCCAGGCAUGUUGGCUCACGCCUGUAAUCCCAGAAUUGGGAGGCUGAGGUGGGUAGAUCACCUGAGGUCAGGAGUUCAAGACCAGCCUGGCCAACAUGGUGAAACCCUGUCUCUACUGAAAAUACAAAAAUUAGCUGGAUGUGGUGGCCCAAUCCUGUAGUCCCAGCUACUUUGGAGGCUGAGGCAGAAGAAUUGCUUGAACCUGGGAGGUGAAGGUUGCAGUGAGCCGAGAUCAAGCCCCUGCACUCCAGCCUGGGCCACAAAGCAGGACUCUGUCCCAAAAUAAAUAAAUAAAAUAAAAUAAAAAUUAAAUUAAAAAGCGAAAAUGUGAUGAAGAAAAGGAAGUAAAACAGUCAUCUACUAGCCCCCUCCUGCUCUCCUGCAGGAUAACCAUUGUUAACAUUUUGGUGUGAAUCACUUUAGGAUCUUUUAAAUGUAUGUACACACAUAUGCACACAGACUACAUGUGUAUAGAUGUAUGCAUAUGUUUAUAGAAAUGGGAUUGCAUUGCAGUUAUAUAACCUGAAUUUUUCACAUACUAUCUCAUAAACAUUUUCUGAGUUAUUAAAUCUUUGAGGCACUGCAUCUCUUUAUAAAGGAACACUUGCUUCAACAUUAGACAUUUACAGUGCCCCAGCAGUGCGGCCCUCCAAAGAGGUCUGGCUUCUGUGUGUACCCCUUGGGUGUCUUGUGAAUUCAGGAAGCUUGAAUUGGCUACUGGAGCCCAACGUGUAAAAAAUCAGCUUUCAAAGGCACUAAAUAGGAACCAGAGUUAUUGUGGCUUCUUCAUAAAAGUAAACUGGAAUAACAAAUACUGUCUGACAUCUCAGCCAGCAGGGAGGCUUUGCUGUGU